UGCAGUCGAACGGAAACGAUGGGAGCUUGCUCCCAGGCGUCGAGUGGCGGACGGGUGAGUAAUACUUAGGAAUCUACCCAGUAGCGGGGGACAACUCGAGGAAACUCGAGCUAAUACCGCAUACGCCCUACGGGGGAAAGCGGAGGACUCUUCGGAGCUUCGCACUAUUGGAUGAGCCUAAGUCGGAUUAGCUUGUUGGUGAGGUAAAGGCUCACCAAGGCGACGAUCCGUAGCUGGUCUGAGAGGACGAUCAGCCACACUGGGACUGAGACACGGCCCAGACUCCUACGGGAGGCAGCAGUGGGGAAUAUUGGACAAUGGGGGCAACCCUGAUCCAGCAACGCCGCGUGUGUGAAGAAGGCCUGCGGGUUGUAAAGCACUUUCAGUAGAGAAGAAAAGCUUAGGGUUAAUACCCCUGGGUCUUGACGUUACCUACAGAAGAAGCUCCGGCUAACUCCGUGCCAGCAGCCGCGGUAAUACGGAGGGAGCGAGCGUUAAUCGGAAUUACUGGGCGUAAAGCGCGCGUAGGCGGCUUUGUAAGUCGGAUGUGAAAGCCCUGGGCUCAACCUGGGAAUUGCAUUCGAUACUGCAUGGCUAGAGUAUGGUAGAGGGAAGUGGAAUUUCCGGUGUAGCGGUGAAAUGCGUAGAUAUCGGAAGGAACACCGGUGGCGAAGGCGACUUCCUGGGCCAAUACUGACGCUGAGGCGCGAAAGCGUGGGUAGCAAACAGGAUUAGAUACCCUGGUAGUCCACGCCGUAAACGAUGAGAACUAGAUGUCGGGGGAAUUUGUCCUUCGGUGUCGCAGCUAACGCGUUAAGUUCUCCGCCUGGGGAGUACGCCGGCAACGGUAAAACUCAAGGAA
rnacentral:rRNA from 1 species